rnacentral:tRNA from 1 species
GGAGAGUAGGCAGAUAUUGGUUCGCUGCGCUUACCUGCUAAGUAAGUUCCCAUUCGUGGGAUGAAGGUUCGAUUCCUUUGCUCUCCG